rnacentral:lncRNA from 1 species
CUGGUUCUUGUGUAUAAGCUGGCCGGCCACCUCCAGGGUUGCAGAGCAGGAGAAGCUGCGCCCGUUGUCCUCUGGGGUGGCCUUCAGCAGGAGCUGGGCCCUCGGGCCCAGUGGCUGGGCUGGAACCCCAUUCAGCGUCACCUUGGCUCUAGGGUGGGCCUCACACUUCACUGUCACCUCGGUCCCUUCUGAGACCUCUGGCUUCGUCAGAAUCACGUUGGGCGCCGGAAAGCCUGGAAUAGGCACACAGUGAGCCCCGCCCCGGGUUCAGGUCACACCCCCAAGAAGCCCCACUCCGCCCCUGCCCCUUCUUACUGUAGAUGGUCACUGUCUGCAGUGUCUCCUGGCUCUGGUUCCCCAGUAUUACUGCACACGUCAGCCGCUGGGUGCCCUCGUCCUCUGCGGUCACACUGACUGAGGCCUUGGCCGAGAAGGAGUCGUUGCCAUAGGUGACUGUGGGGUUCAACCUCUGGUCCCCCAGUGCCAGGUGGACCUGGGCCUCCGAGACUGGGAACAGCCCGUCCAGGGAACAGACCACGGUCCCCUGCGUGUCCACCUCUAGGACCCGGGGGCUGACAAGUUGUGGGGGAGUCGCUGGCAGGACUAGGGAGAGAAGAAAGGUCUGGAGCUGGUAGGGGGCCGAGGUGUUCUCAAACAGCUCCAGCCCUUGGGGCCGCAGGUCCAGUUCAGUGCGGCACGAGAAAUUGGCUCCAUGGUGAUCUCUCCUCACCAGCACCGUGGUCGUGACCUCAGCGGGCUCCCCCACAGCUGGCUCCCGUUUCAGCUCCUUCUCCCCACGGAGCAGCACCACGGUGAGGUUGGCCCGGGGUGCCCCACCCUCCACCUGGCAGCGUAGGGUAAGGUUCUUGCCCACUGGCUGCCAAGAGGGGAGGGGUGCCAGUUCCACCCGUUCUGGAGUCCCUGCAGGAAAACAGAGGUGGGGGUGUCUGGUGAAGUGGACCUUGCUGCCUGCCUAACAGACGAACUGCACCUGCCUGGGAGCCCUACCUCUUCAGUAUCUCCCCCAAACACGCCCAGACACCUAAGCAGAUAGGAAUGUCAAGAUCUUCAGUGAAAACUGGUAAGAGGGCCCCGAGUGUUUGUGAAGGGGAUCAAAAUAUUCCUUAUUCAUGACAGCAGCAUCUUAGAGUGAAAAGUGGAAAAGAACUUCAAAGUCUAUUGCUAGGUGUCUGGUCAAAUAAAUUCAGCAGCCCAGUGCACUAGACUGGGCAAACAGUGGCUCGAUCUUGGCUCACUGCAACCUCUGCCUCUGGGAUUCAGGGGAUUCUCCUGCCUCAGCCUCCUGAGUAGCUUAGAUUACAGGCACACACCACCACACCAGGUUAAUUUUUGUAUUUUUAUUUUUAAUUAAUUAAUUAAUUAAGUUUUUAGACUGAGUCUCCUUCUGUCGCCCAGGCUGGAGGGUGAUGGCAUGAUCUUGGCUCACUGCAACCUCUGCCUCCUGGGUUCAAGCAAUUCUCCUGCCUCAACCUCCUGAGUAGCUGGGAUUACAGGCACGUGUCACCACACCCAGCUAAUUUUUGUAUUUUUAGUAGAAACGGGGUUUCAGCAUGUUGCCCAGGCUGGUCUCGAAUUCCUGACCUCAAGUGAUCUGCCCACCCCGGCCUCCCAAAGUGCUGGGAUUACAGGUGAAAGUAAAUGAGCCUGGCCUAGACAUUCUUUAAAAAACAAAACAAAACAAAAAAAAAAACCUGUUGGCCAGGUGUGAUGGCUCAGGCUGUAAUCCUAGCACUUUGUGAGGCCAAGGCAAGAGGGUCACUUGAGGCCAGGAGUUCAAGACAAGCCUGGGCAACAUAGGGAGACCCCCAUCUCUAAGAAAAAUUAAAAAAAGGUUGGCAGGGCGCGGUGGCUCACGCCUUUAAUCCCAGCACUUUGGGAGGCCAAGGAGGGUGGAUCCACGAAGUCAGGAGUUCGAGAUAAGCCUGACCAACAGAGUGAAACCCCGUCUCUAUUAAAAAUACAAAAAUUAGUCUGGCAUGGUGGUGCACGCCUGUAGUCUCAGCUACUCGGGAGGCUGAGGCAGGAGAAUCUCUUGAACCUGGGAGGUGGAGGUUGCAGUGAGCUGAGAUCGUGCCACUGCACUCCAGCCUAGGUGACAGAGCGAGACUCCAUCUCAAAAUAAAUGAAUGAAUGAAUGAAUGAAUGGUUAACUGGGUGUGGUGGUGCACACCUGUAGUCCCUGCUACUUGGGAGGCUGAGGCAGGAGGAUCACUUGAGCCCAGGAGUUUAAGGCUAUAGUGAACUGUGAUCAUGCCACUGUACUUUAGCCUGGGAAAGAAAGACCCUGUUUCUAUUAAAAAAAAAAAAAAGUCAGUAAUGACAGAGUCUAAUAACAAAAAGGCUGCGUGUGGUGGCUCACGCCUGUAAUCCCAACACUUUGGGGGGCCGAGGCAGGCGGAUCACCUGAGGUCAGGAGUUCAAGACCAGCCUGGCCAAUAUAGUGAAACCCCGUCUCUACCUAAAAAUACAAAAAUUAGCCAGGCGUGGUGUUGUGUGCCUGUAGUCCCAGCUACUUGAGAGGCUGAGGUUUACUUGUGAGGAAAGGAUUACUUCAGCCCAGGAGGCAGAGAUUGCAGUGAACUGAGAUCGCGCCACUGUACUCUAGACUGAGUGACAGAGUGAGAGUCUCUCUCAGAGGAAAAAAAAAAAAAAAAAAAAAGCAUCAGGACCGGGGGGGUCCUGCAUUUGAUACCCAGCCUUGCUUCUUUGCUGUGGGUAAGUGACUUUGUCUCUCUGAACCUCAGUUUCCUGAACUGUAAAAUAGGGCUAUUAAAGGUAGGAGAAUUCACUUAAGAGGUAGACAGAGUCGCUGUACAUAAGCAGGAGGUUUCUUUUUUAGAGUGAUUGAAAUAUUUUAAAAUUAGAUUGUAGUCAUGGUUGUUUGUACAGAAGUCAUUGAAUUAUGUGCUUAAAAGGGAUGAAUCUUAUGGUAUUCUAAAUCGUAUCUCAAGAAAGCAAGGCUGGGGCAUGGUGGCUCACAUCUGUAAUCCCAGUACUUUGGGAUGCCAAGGCGGGGUCAUUUGAGGCCAGGAGUUCAAGGCUAGCUUGGGCAACAUUGCAAGACCUCAUUUCUCCAAAAAAAAAAAAAAAAAUUAAAAACAAGCUGGGCUUCGGCAUGGCGUGGUGGCUUAUGCCUGUAAUCCCAGCACUUUGGGAGGCCAGAACAGAUGGAUCACCGGAAGUCAGGAGUUCAAGACCAGCCUGGCCAGGCCAGACAUGGUGGCUCACGCCUGUAAUCCCAGCACUUUGGGAGGCCAAGGCGGGCGGAUCACGAGGUCAGGAGAUCAAGACCAUCCUGGCUAACACGGUGAAACCCCGUCUCUACUAAAAAUACAAAAAAUUAGCCAGGCGUGGUGGUGGGCGCCUGUAGUCCCAGCUACUCAGGAGGCUAAGGCAGGAGGAUGGAGUGAACCCGGGAGGCGGAGCUUGCAGUGAGCCCAGAUCGAACCACUGCACUCCUGCCUGGGCGACAGAGUGAGACUCUGUCUCAAAAAAAAAAAAAAAAAAAAAAAGGCCGGGCACGGUGGCUCAUGCCUGUAAUCUCAGCACUUUGGGAGGCCGAGGCAGGUGGAUCAUCUGAGGUUGGGAGUUCGAGACCAGCCUGACCAACAUGGAGAAACCCUGUCUUUACUAAAAAUACAAAAUUAGCCUUGUGUGGUGUCGCAUGCCUGUAAUCCCAGCUACUCAGGUGGCUGAGGCAAGAGAAUAGCUUGAUCCUGGGGGUCGGAGGUUGUGGUGAGCUAAGAUCCUGCCAUUGCACUUCAGCCUGGGCAAUAAGAGCGAAACUCCGGUCUCAAACAAACAAACAAAAAACACCAAAGAAAAAAAAAAAACCAGCUGGGCUUCCUGCUGGCUCACACCUGUAGUCCCUGCUACUCAGGAGGCUAAGGGUGGGAGGAGGAUUUCUUGAGCCUGGGAGUUUGAGGCUGCAGUCAGCUACGAUUGUACCACUGCACUCCAGCCUGGGUGACAAAGUGAGACCCUGAGACCCUGUCUCUAAAAAUAAAACAGAAAGCUGUUAAGCUGUUAAAAACAAAAACAAAAAAAUAUAUAUAUAUAUAGUCAAGAAAACUCUGACCUCCAGCUCUUCUCUCUUACCACCUCCUAUAGACUCUUGCAGAACUUGAGGUACCCUCAAACCUCAGCCCCUAGAGGAAACCCAGCUCAGCUGCCUGGUGCAGCGGGGAGGAAGUCUGUCCUGCUCUCACCUCUUCUUGACCCUGACCUGCAGUCCUUUACCAAAUCCUGGUCACUGAAGUAUUCAAAUACUUGUCUGUCCUUCCCUUCUUGAAUACGGUCACUGCCCACAACAUGGGCCGCGUGGACAAGGACCAUAGCCAACUGCUCAUUGGCUUCCAGUAAAUCCAGCCUUCAGCUAUCUAAUCCCUGGCCUGCUCAGAAACCCUCCAUGACUCCCUAUCACCCCAAGAAGGAAAGUCCCAGCUCCUCCACCUGGCAUUCAAGGCUCUGCCAACCUCACCCUUCCUCCCAUCAAUCAAUUUUUUUUUUUUUUUUAGGGGCAGUGUCUCUCUCUGUCACCUGGGCUGGAAUGCAGUGGUGCAAUCAUAGCUGACUGUAACCUCAAAUUCCUGGGCUUGACCAGGCUCAGUGGCUCACACCUAUAAUCCCAGCACUUUGGGAAACUGAGGCAGGAGGAUCUCUUGCGGUCAGGCGUUCAAGACCAGCCUGGCUAACAUGGUAAACCCUAUCUCUACUAAAAAUACAAAAAAAUUAGCUGGGCAUGAUGGUGGGCACCUUAAUCCCAGCAACUCGGGAGGCUCAGGCAGCAGAAUCGGUUGAACCCAGGAGGUGGAGGAGGCUGCAGUGAGCCAAGAUGGCACCACUGCACUCCAGCCUGGGCCACAGAGUGAGACUCCAUCUCAAAAAAACAAAAACAAAAACAAAAAAAUUCCUGGGUUCAAGUGAUCCUCCCACUUGAGCCUCCAGAGUAGUUGAGAAUACAAGC